rnacentral:rRNA from 1 species
AUUGAACGCUGGCGGCAUGCCUUACACAUGCAAGUCGAACGGCAGCAUGGGUGCUUGCACCUGAUGGCGAGUGGCGAACGGGUGAGUAAAGCAUCGGAACGUAACCGGAAGUGGGGGAUAACGUAGCGAAAGUUACGCUAAUACCGCAUAUUCUGUGAGCAGGAAAGCAGGGGCUCGUAAGACCUAGCGCUUUCGGAGCGGCCGAUGUAGGAUUAGCUAGUUGGUGAGGUAAAGGCUCACCAAGGCGACGAUCCGUAGCGGGUGUGAGAGGAUGAUCCGCCACACUGGGACUGAGACACGGCCCAGACUCCUACGGGAGGCAGCAGUGGGGAAUUUUGGACAAUGGGCGGAAGCCUGAUCCAGCCAUGCCGCGUGAGUGAAGAAGGCCUUCGGGUUGUAAAGCUCUUUUGUCAGGGAAGAAAUAGCUUGGGUUAAUACCCUGGGCGGAUGACGGUACCUGAAGAAUAAGCACCGGCUAACUACGUGCCAGCAGCCGCGGUAA